rnacentral:lncRNA from 1 species
AGCGUAUAGAAGAUCUUUAUCUAUACUAUCUAUAAUAUAUAUAUAAAAGCGUAUAGAAAAAAUCUUACAAUGACAGAUGGAAUAAAAAUAAAAAUAAAAGAAUAUUCCCUACUUUUAUGAUCAAUUUGUUAGAAAAUAUUUCAAAUAAGAACGAACUGUUAUGAUCAAUUUGUUAAAAAAUAUCUUAAAUAAAAAUAAAUGAUUAUGAUCAAUCUAUUAAAAUAGCAUACAUAUACAUCUAUUUUACAUUAAAACUAACACUACAACAAAAACGGCCUAUAGCGACACUUUUAAAUAUAGAUACAUAUCAAAAAAGUGCUGCUAGCUAAAAUUACCGACACUUUUAAAAAGUGUUGCUAUAUGUAGGGUCGCUAGGUAUAUAGUAACAGUUAAAGAGUGUCGCUAUAACUUAAAAGAGUGCUGCUAAUUUACCAACACUUAUUUAAGCAUUUAGCAACCGCCGAAACUCUAUCUCGUUGGCUGCGGUGGCGGAGGAGGACGACAGGAAAGGCUCUUCGUCUAGAAUUUCAAUGGAUUGAGUGAAGAGAGAAGAAAAGAUGGCAAUUGAUUUUUCUUUUCUUUUUCUUUUCUAUUUGUAAUCG